ensembl:snRNA U2 U2 spliceosomal RNA
AUCGCUUCUCGGCCUUUUGGCUAAGAUCAAGUGUAAUCAACACACCCUGAAUUACUGGAAACCUUUGUUAACUUCCAGAGAACAGAGUAAAUUUAUUUUUACACUUCUUCCAUUAUUCUCAUUGCUUUUAUGACAAAGAGGAUUUUCAGAGGUUCUUCACAACAAUUUCUCUGAUAUCACUCAGA